rnacentral:rRNA from 1 species
AGAGUUUGAUCCUGGCUCAGGACGAACGCUGGCGGCGUGCCUAACAUAUGCAAGUCGAGCGGAGACAGGGAGUAGCUUGCUACGAACUGUUUUAGCGGCGGACGGGUGAGUAACGCGUGAGCAACCUUUCCCAGACAGGGGAAUAACACACCGAAAGGUGUACUAAUACCGCAUAAGACCACGGGAUCACAUGGUUCUGGGGUAAAAGAAUUAUCGGUUUGGGGUGGGCUCGCGUCCGAUUAGGUAGUUGGUGAGGUAACGGCCACCAAGCCGACGAUCGGUAGCCGACCUGAGAGGGUGAUCGGCCACAUUGGGACUGAGACACGGCCCAAAUCCUACGGAGGCA